rnacentral:rRNA from 1 species
GACGAACGCUGGCGGCGUGCUUAACACAUGCAAGUCGAACGGAAAGGCUCUGCUUUUGUGGGGUACUCGAGUGGCGAACGGGUGAGUAACACGUGAGAAACCUGCCCUUGACUUCGGGAUAACUGCAGGAAACUGGGGCUAAUACCGGAUAGGAGCUCCUGCUACAUGGUGGGGGUUGGAAAGUUUCGGAGGGUGGGGAUGGAAUCGCGGCCUAGCAGCCUGUCGGUGGGGUAGUGGCUAACCAAGGCAUCGGCGGUUAGCCGGACUGAGAGGGUGACCGGCCACAUUGGGACUGAGAUACGAGCAAGACUCCCACGGGAGCCAGCGGUGGGGGAUAGUGCGCGCUGGGCGGAGUCCUUGUGCAGCAACUCCGCGUGCGGGAUGACGGCCUUCGGGUUGUAACCCGCGUUCGCCUGUGACGAAGAGUGAGUGACGGUAAUGGGUAAAGAAGCACCGGCUAACUACGUG